rnacentral:tRNA from 1 species
GGGCAAGUGGUGGAAUGGUAGACACGCAGCGUUCAGGACGCUGUGAGCGCAAGCUCUUGGAGGUUCGACUCCUCUCUUGCCCA